rnacentral:rRNA from 1 species
AGCAGCCGCGGUAAUUCCAGCUCCAAUAGCGUAUAUUAAAGUUGUUGCAGUUAAAAAGCUCGUAGUUGAAUUUCGGGAUCAAGGAAUCGGUCAUGCCUUGGUAUGUACUGGUUUUAUUGGUUCUCACCUUCUAAAGAACCAUAAUGUCAUUCAUUUGAUGUUAUGGGGAAUUAGGACUGUUACCUUGAAAAAAUUAGAGUGUUUAAAGCAGGCUUACGCUUGAAUACAUUAGCAUGGAAUAAUGAAAUAGGACGUUUGAUUCUAUUUUGUUGGUUUCUAGGAUCGACGUAAUGAUUAAUAGGGAUAGUUGGGGGCAUUAGUAUUCAAUUGUCAGAGGUGAAAUUCUUGGAUUUAUUGAAGACUAACUACUGCGAAAGCAUUUGCCAAGGAUGUUUUCAUUAAUCAAGAACGAAAGUUAGGGGAUCGAAGACGAUCAGAUACCGUCGUAGUCUUAACCAUAAACUAUGCCGACUAGGGAUCGGAUGAUGUUAAUUUUUAAUGACUCAUUCGGCGCCUUAAC